AUUGAACGCUAGCGGGAUGCUUUACACAUGCAAGUCGAACGAGUGGCGGACGGGUGAGUAAUGUAUCGGAACGUGCCCAGUAGCGGGGGAUAACUACUCGAAAGAGUGGCUAAUACCGCAUACUAUCGGAGAGGCCGAUAUCGGAUUAGCUAGUAGGUGGGGUAAUGGCUCACCAAGGCAACGAUCCGUAGCUGUUUUGAGAGGACGACCAGCCACACGGGGACUGAGAAACGGCCCAGACUCCUCCGGGAGGCAGCGGUGGGGAGUAUUAGGCAAUGGGCGAAAGCCUGAGCGAGCAAUGCCGCGUGCGUGAGAAGGCUUGCGGUGUGUAAAACUCUGUCGUCGGAGAAGCGGUAUCAAAAGAGAAAGCAACGGCUAACUACGUGCCAGCAGCCGCGGUAAUUC
rnacentral:rRNA from 1 species